AUGGCGGCGUUAAUAUUGAUGUAUUCGAGAAAAUGACAAAGAGAAUCGCUUAUUUUGGUAACAAACAGGACCAAAAAUGGUACCUUAAAGAUUACAUGCUUCUUAGUACACAUUAGCUCUUCUUCUAUGGAGUUUGGAUGGAAAAAACCACGGGAGAGCAGGUAGAAAACUCCAAUUGGAACACACGUGCAAUAUAAUUUUCAGAUCCACAAGCAGAGAUGGCCUGUGGUGGACAAUCCUUGGAAAGUGGCCUGUGGUGGGCAAGCCUUGGAAGGUGGUCUGCAGUGGACAAGUCUUGGAAAGUGGCCUGUGGUGGACAAGCCUUGGAAGGUGGUCUGCUAUGGACAAGCUUUGAAAGUUGGCCUGUGACAGACAAGCCAUGCAAGGUGACCUGUGGAAAAUCCUUGGUACCUACCCUUUGGGCAAUCAUUAGGAGAUGGCCUGUGGACAAACCUUGGAAGGUGGCCCUUAUGAUAAGCUUGGGAAGGUAGCCUAUGAACGAGCUUGGGAUGGUGGCCCAUGGACAUCUCUUCAUGAAUCUUCAUGAACGGUGGACCCCUUGGAUCUUAGAUAGCCUUUUCAAAAGAACAAGUGGCAAACCAGUGAUUUGGAACCCAUGGACAAAAUGCAAAAGAUUUUGGAAGGAAGCAUAGAAGGAAAUGUGCUGAAGAUCACUGUUACGUCUGAAGAAAGGAAGGCAGGCCAGAGUUUCCUUGAGAUUGUAAGAGAAAGAGAGAAGAAAAAAAAAUGUCCAAGAAAGUAACGGCGUGGAAAGGAAGAUGACAUUUGCUCAGAUUCAGAAGUAUCGCGUGCAAGAGCUUUUACGAUGCGCUAAGAAAUGACCAUCUGAAGUAAGAGAUCAAGAAAGAAUAGGAGAAAUCAAGGGUCUGAACAUCUGUUGUCAUACCCAUGUGUAUAAAGACAGACAUUUGCUUAGAAUAAACGCAUGCGUUUUGAAAAACUGUUUGUACCACAAAGUAGACAACUUAUCGAAAGAUUUAAUUAAAUACUUUGAAGAGUGGGUUAGGUGGGGGAGGCUGGAUGGUUGAAAUUAAAACUGUCUAAAUAGAAUGUAAUCUUACUGUUAUAAUUUGGAUAUAUCAACAAAGUCGAAAUGGUAAAAUGGCCACCGUAACGAUUACAAAAGCUGACGUUUCGAG